rnacentral:rRNA from 1 species
UACGUAGGGAGCGAGCGUUGUCCGGAUUCAUUGGGCGUAAAGAGCUCGUAGGCGGCUUGGCAAGUCGGGUGUGAAAACUCCAGGCUCAACCUGGAGACGCCACCCGAUACUGCCAUGGCUAGAGUCCGGUAGGGGACCACGGAAUUCCUGGUGUAGCGGUGAAAUGCGCAGAUAUCAGGAGGAACACCGGUGGCGAAGGCGGUGGUCUGGGCCGGCACUGACGCUGAGGAGCGAAAGCGUGGGGAGCGAACAGG